GAUGAACGCUGGCGGCGUGCCUAAUACAUGCAAGUCGAGCGAACAGACGAGGAGCUUGCUCCUCUGACGUUAGCGGCGGACGGGUGAGUAACACGUGGAUAACCUACCUAUAAGACUGGGAUAACUUCGGGAAACCGGAGCUAAUACCGGAUAAUAUAUUUAACCGCAUGGUUCAAUAGUGAAAGACGGUUUUGCUGUCACUUAUAGAUGGAUCCGCGCCGCAUUAGCUAGUUGGUAAGGUAACGGCUUACCAAGGCAACGAUGCGUAGCCGACCUGAGAGGGUGAUCAGCCACACUGGAACUGAGACACGGUCCAGACUCCUACGGGAGGCAGCAGUAGGGAAUCUUCCGCAAUGGGCGAAAGCCUGACGGAGCAACGCCGCGUGAGUGAUGAAGGUCUUCGGAUCGUAAAACUCUGUUAUUAGGGAAGAACAAAUGUGUAAGUAACUAUGCACGUCUUGACGGUACCUAAUCAGAAAGCCACGGCUAACUACGUG
rnacentral:rRNA from 1 species